rnacentral:antisense_RNA from 1 species
UUACUUUUGGGUUUUGUCUACCUCAUGUGGUACCCAUUUCUAGCAGGGAAUUUCUUCCACUUGCAGACCAAGUGUGUUGGGGACUUGAGAUGCGUACAUGAGUGUUUGUGAUGUUUCCUGCCGAAAGCACAGGUGAGACGUGGUCUUGUAACACAGUGGUUAAGAAUGUGACUUUGGAGCCAGCCUGCUAGGGGCUGAAUUCUGACUCAGCCAUUUACUAACUGUGUGACCUUAGGUAAGUCAUUUACCUUCUCUGUCCCUCAGUUUCAUCUCGGUAAAGUAGGGAUAAUGAUAGCACCUAUUUUAUAGGGUUAUUGUGAGGAAUAAAUCCAAGUAAAAUGCUUAGAAUAGUAACUGAAACAUAGCACUCAUUAGGAAUGCUUUAAUUUUCAUUUAUUUGAAUAUUAAAGGUUGAAUUUUCAGAGGUGUUUUGGACCUUUGUAUUUUUUCUUUAAAUCACUUGUUCAUGACUUUUGAACUUUUUUUUUUCUUUUAGAGACAGGGUCUUGGUUUGUUGUCUAGGCUGGAAUGCAGUGGUGCAAUCAUAGCUCAUUGUAGCCUUGAACUCUUGGGCUCAAGAGAUCCUCCUGCCUCAGCCUCGUGAGUAGCUGGGCCUACAGGCGCCUGCUACCACACCUGGCUAAUUUUUUAUUUUUUGUAGAGAUGGGUUCUUGCAGCCCAGACUGGUCUUGAGCUUUGGCCUGAAGUGCUCCUCCUGCCUUGGCCUCUCAAAGCAUUGGGGUUACACGUGUGAAGCACUGCACCUUGCCUACACAUUUUUUCCAAUAAUUUUUUAAAUUAAUUUGUAAGAGUUAACAUGUCGACUAUCAUAUAUAAU